CUGAAGUUUUAUAAAAUGCACAGGAAGAUGGAGGAUUACAAAGCGCUGUUGAUUUUAUUGUUUGUGUGUUUGGCGUCAUUUAAUGGUGCACAACGCUAUCUGCCUAGCAACCUUACAUCUGUGUACGUGGCUGAUGGCACAAUCAGGGUUUCAUGGGAUCCUCCUACCACACCGGGGAGAAGUGAUGGGUAUUCCGUCGCAGUCCUGGAGACAGGUGAAUAUGGCUAUGUAUCAACGGAUCACUGUGUUUACCAGUACAACAACACCAGACCGGCAACAACAUACAGCUUCGAACUGACCACAAUUAUAUCAGCUACAACCAGAGUUACAUCUCAGACCACCAUCACCACUCCAACUGCCAUAUAUAGACAAAGAAGUACAGGGACACAACUGAUGCUUCCAAAGCCCCCUGGUGGUCUAUCAUCCAUUAUAUUUAACGGUCGGACACUUUUCGCUUUCUUCGACAAUGAUAACAUUGGUGGUAACAAUAGAACUGAGUAUGGUGUAACAGUCAGAGUGACGUCAACAAAAACAGAACUGACCUUUGAUCGCCUGAAAACAGAGCAUGCUGGGUACUACUACACCAUGCAACAGAGUGGAAAUAUAAUCCUUGGAGGGCAAAUGUUAGUAGUAACUGACACACCCACUCGGCCAAACAUUACCCUUUCAAAUUCUUCGCCUGUUCUCAACACAUCAGUGAGAUUGGUAUGCUCUUCAGCUUCUCGAAGUCAACCGGACAAUCAUGGACUGGUUUUAACAGCCUCCUGGAAAUUGAAUGGUAGUGCAUUAAACCAUGCCAGAUUCUCAGUCAAUGAUUCAAGUCUCACUAUCAAUGCCGUACGAUUCAGAGACAAAUAUAAUGUCUACGCAUGUGUGGCUCACGAGACAGGACAGGGAGUAAGUGGAUUGACCUCAGAGGAAAGUGGAGCAUUCACGCUAACACCACGCUAUGGACCACAGUUUAUUACGAUAGAGAGCACUGAGGGUAAAUCUUCAGUGAUCAGAGGAGAUGUCUACGGUCCUGUGGUCUGUAGAACCGACUGCAACCCUGCUUGUUUAAUGGAGUGGCGGAGACAAGGCAUCCCAUUCAUUCCAUCACGUAGGGAUUCCAGUAAUGAACUAGAGUUGGUGGACGCCUCACUCCCGAGAGUAAGGGAGGUAACUUAUGCUUGUCAAGUACAAGUGGCACCAUCUGCAGGUUUUACCACACCGACACUAGAAAAGAACAUAACAGUUAUUGUUUAUUAUAGACCACAGUUUGUUACGAUAGAGAGCAAUGAGGAUAAAUCUCCAGCGAUCAGAGGAGAUGUCUACGGUACUGUGUCCUGUAGAACCGACUGCAACCCUUCUUGUUUAAUGGAGUGGCGGAGACAAGGCAUCCCAUUCAUUCCAUCAUGUAGGGAUUCCAGUAAUGAACUAGAGUUGGUGGACCCCUCACUCCCGAGAGUAAGGGAGGUAACUUAUACAUGUCAAGUAGAAGUGGCACCAUUUGCAGGUUUUACUGCACCGACACUAGAAAAGAACAUAACAGUUAUUGUUUAUUUCGCACCCCAAAUCACGGAAUUGAGGUAUCGGGACGGUGUUGAUAACCAGUACAUGCACAUUGGCAGUAAUGAAGUCAGAUACACAGAAGGUUCCAGCUUGGAACUCCGUGUUGAUGUUGACAGUAGCCCACUGGCUGACGUCACCCUGUUACGUAACCAGACAACGCUCGUAGUCGGCGUACCUGUCAGUACUGGAAUAUAUGAAAUUAAAUUACACAACCUCCAGUGCAACCAUACGGGAAAGUAUGACGUCUGGGCGGACAACUUCGUUACUCGGAAUAGAAGUACCGCCAACGCCCCGAGAAUGCAGUUUGGACUUCAAGUCAGUUGCGCCCCACGGAUAUAUAAUACUACGAAUACCAUUAUUAGUAUAACAGGGGAAAGGGGUCAGAUAGUUGUACUCAAUGUAACUGUGAUCGCCAACCCAAUGCCCACGAUUCAAUGGUCUGACGAAGUGAGAGCACUUGGUGUGGUACAAAACAACGAUAAUAUGUAUACUGUCACGGGGUUGGUCAGGAUCACGACGCAAUCUGAUUUCCAGAAGUGCUACCUUAAUGUCACGAAUACUUUACCGGAAGUAUUAACUGUCCUCUUCCAGAUCAGCCUUGAAGAGAUUCCGCAGAAGCCUUACACACAGUUAAACCUGAUUAUCUGUUUAGUGUCAAUCGGUGUAGUUGUCCUGGUUUAUGUUGUGGUCAUCGCCGUCUUGGGCAUGAAACGGAGACAACGUCAACAAGAUCAAACUGAUGCCAGCCUCAACCAAAACACCCAAGGCAACACCACCAGCCUCGAACUCCAAAGCAUAGCUACCACCCAUGGACGACGUAUCAAUGGCGACGACGAGCAGGAGCAUGCUUAUGUCAACGUUGACGAUGGCAUCCAAUCCAAUCACGAGCUCCAAAGUCAGGAUGACAACGAGUAUAUAGAGAUUAAUCCACCCAGAGGUAAAACUGAUGCCAAACUCAGCCAAAACACCCAAGGCAACACCACCAGCCUCGAACUCCAAAGCAGAGCUACCAUCCAUGGACGACGUAACAAUGGAGACGAAGGCCUGAUUCAAGGACCAAAAGGGAUCAAACUGACCAAAUAUCAACAACUAAUCCCCAACACCAAAAGCAGUUUAAAAGUAAACAUUGUUGAUGGAUGGAAAGGUGGUGCUAUUCACAAUGAUGAUAACAGCAAGCAUACUUAUUUGGAACUAACUGGAGAUGAUAACAAUGCAUAUAUGGAGAUGAAACCACCCGAAGGUGACGCUUCUCAAAAUGAUGAAACAGACAAAUACAUUGAUUUGGAACAAACUAGAGGUGGCGCUUCUCGAAAAGAUGAUAAAAACAAAUACAUUAAUUUAGAACAAACUGGAGGUGGCGCUUUUCGAAAAGAUGAUAAAAGCAAAUACAUUAAUUUAGAACAAACUGGAGGUGGCGCUUCUCGAAAAGAUGAUAAAAACAAAUACAUUAAUUUAGAACAAACUGGAGGUGGCGUUUCUCGAAAAGAUGAUAAAAACAAAUACAUUAAUUUAGAACAAACUGGAGGUGGCGCUUCUCGAAGUGAUGAAAAAAACAAAUACAUUAAAUUGGAACAAACUGGAGGCCAGGAGCAUGUGUACGAUACGACUCAUCCUGAACAUCGUGACAGUGGCGCAAUCGGUGAACGCAAAGGCAGGGCUAGCAAGGAUAAAAAACGAAGACAUACUCCUCAACAGUGACGUGAAGAAAGAGCCUUUUCCCGACGGGAGAAAUGGUGUCAUUUCCAGGACAAAUGAUAGAACAAAAUGUGUCUUUGUUAACUUCCCACAGACUGCUUCUAACUGAAUCUAAAACGAUAAAGAAUGACAAAGGAAAUGUGUGCAGUUUGUUGAAGGAUCGAGAGGGCUUUCACGUUUUGAAUUUGACCUAGUCAUGCAUGGCGUAUGUUGAUGAUAAAGCAGAGAACGCUUUAUCUUCCGGAACACCAACUCAUUUGUUUCAUCGAUUUGGUUUGCUAUUAAACGUUGCGUUUACACUUCAUUACUUCCCUUACUUUAUCCAUCAAUAAUCUUUCUGGUGAGAUAUUAGCUAAUUAUUAUAAUAUUUCACUUUGCAUUUUUUCAUACAUAUUUGAUAGAGUUGUUUUUGUAAAACUAUUUAUUUAAGAGUUUGUUUGAUUGUAUUUUUUUAAUGAACGUCAGUGGGAUUGUAAAGGACUUAGGGCGUUAUGGACCAUUUACCGCCUCAUGAUUUUUUUUCAUAAAAAUCCACUUGAAUUUAUCGAACAAUUUCUUUUAUAAACAUUGUAUUUGUUUAGGAUGUACUUUUCUGAGGUUCAAACACCUUCAAGUCUGGUUUUGAUCUCUUGUAAGGGGUAAAUGAAGUAAUAAAUAAAGUAUGAUUUAUUUAAAUAGCAAACAUUAAUAGCGGCCAUUUUAAAAAUGUGUAUUUCUGUGUAUUUCUUGCGCGUCACGAAAAGCCAAAAUGUCACUCUUUUUACUCUAGAUAGAUCACUUAAUUGUCAGUGUGUCGCAAUUUCAGAUUGUCCUUUUUCGCUGUACAACUUUAUUAUGUUCAGUAUAAUGAAAACAAUAUGCAACAAAGGGGAAAUUUAUAAAUGUUUGGUAACCUACAUUCUUUUGAUUCGCUAAAUAUUUAAAAAAAAUAUUUUUGCUCUUAGCAGUCAGCUGAUCGAAGGUCAAGGUCAGAUUUUGUAUCUUUUAACUCCUUAACAUUUUGUUAUGACAUUAUGAAGCAAAGUUGGUCGGAAUCAAACAAGGUUUCAAUUGACUAAUGAUUAAGGUUAUUGAGUCAAAUGUCAAGGUCAAAUUUUACAUCCCUCAACUGGUUAACAUUUUGUUAUGACAUUAUGAAGCAAAGUUGGUAAGAAUCAAACAAGGUGUUAAGUGACUAAAUCUGUAGUUCGUUCAGUCUUAAUGUAAAAUAUUUAAAACAUAACUUUGCAAAUUGUAUGUUGAUGGGAACAUCAUAUUUCAAUUAAAAUUGCAUGGUGUACAAGAAAGAAAGACCAGUGUACCAGUUUUGGCGGUUAGCCAAUUGAAGACAUACUUAAUACGACUUCUGUGUUCAUUAGGGGCCCGUAUCGAAGAUACGGGUGCCCUAUAGUAAUCACUCUGUCUGUCCGUCUGUCCGUCCGUCUGUCUGUCGGUCCACACAUUUUGUUCCUGACUAAUAACUUGUUGAUGUUCAGUUCACAAAAAUACACAUUGAUGGAAAAAGUCAAGGACAAAGGUCAAAGUCAUUAGGUUCAAA